rnacentral:rRNA from 1 species
GACGAACCGAGCGAACGUUAUUCGGAAUCACUGGGCUUAAAGGGCGCGUAGGCGGGCGGCCGAGUCCGGGGUGAAAGCCCCCAGCUCAACUGGGGAAGUGCCUCGGAUACUGGUCGCCUCGAGGGAGAUAGGGGCGUGCGGAACUUCCGGUGGAGCGGUGAAAUGCGUAGAUAUCAGGAGGAACACCGGUGGUGUAGACGGCUCUCUGGACCGUAACUGACGCUGAGACACGAAAGCGUGGGUAGCAAACAGG